rnacentral:rRNA from 1 species
UACGUAGGGCGCAAGCGUUGUCCGGAAUUAUUGGGCGUAAAGAGCUCGUAGGCGGUUUGUCGCGUCUGCUGUGAAAUCCUCAGGCUCAACUUGGGGCGUGCAGUGGGUACGGGCAGACUAGAGUGCGGUAGGGGAGACUGGAAUUCCUGGUGUAGCGGUGGAAUGCGCAGAUAUCAGGAGGAACACCGAUGGCGAAGGCGGGUCUCUGGGCCGUAACUGACGCUGGAGGAGCGAAAGCAUGGGGAGCGAACAGG